rnacentral:rRNA from 1 species
UACGUAGGGUGCAAGCGUUGUCCGGAAUUAUUGGGCGUAAAGAGCUCGUAGGCGGUCUGUCGCGUCGGAUGUGAAAACCCAGGGCUCAACCCUGGGCCUGCAUUCGAUACGGGCAGACUAGAGUUCGGUAGGGGAGACUGGAAUUCCUGGUGUAGCGGUGAAAUGCGCAGAUAUCAGGAGGAACACCGGUGGCGAAGGCGGGUCUCUGGGCCGAAACUGACGCUGAGGAGCGAAAGCGUGUGGAGCAAACAGG